CCAUCAGAUACCACUGCACUACAUUGCGACAACAACAGCGUCAUAGCCACAUUAAGGAACCCAGGUCUCAUCAGAAUUUCAAGCAUAUAAAGUGGUAGUUUCACAUCAUACGUGAAUAUCUGGAGAAGAAGUUCGUCGAGGUACAGAGAGUCGACUUCUCGCUAAACGUGGCAGACCCACUGACCAAGCCUCUCAGCCAGUAGAAGACUAAAGCUCAUCUUGAGAAGAUGGGUCUUAGGUAUAUGGCCAGUUCGCUUUAGGUCAAGUGG
rnacentral:lncRNA from 1 species